CAAUCUGCCGAGAAGUGGGGGAUAGCUCGCCGAAAGGCGAAUUAAUACCGCAUAUGAUCAGGGACGACAUCUUCCCAACAUCAAAGCCGGGGUAACCUGGCGCUUCUUGAUGAGCCCGCGGCCUAUCAGCUAGUUGGUGAGGUAACGGCUCACCAAGGCUUUGACGGGUAGCUGGUCUGAGAGGACGACCAGUCACACUGGAACUGAGACACGGUCCAG
rnacentral:rRNA from 1 species